GAGGGACUGUGGCUCAGUGGUAGAGCAUUUGCUUUGCAUGCAGAAAGCCUCUGGUUCAAUUCCUGACAUCUUCA
rnacentral:tRNA from 1 species